AGGUACCUCAGAUGAGUGGAAUUAUGCAGUAUUUGUCCUUUCAUGUGUACAACUAAUUUGACAGGCAGUAUGAUAAGGAACAAUCUGAAUGACACGUAAACAGGAGGGGGUAAAUUCCAAGCACAGCCUGAAUGAGAAGUAUAACUCAUUUCCCGUAACCUAGAUGCCUUUUUAACACAUCUAUGCAGUCUCCAUGUGAAACCAGGUGCUGUUCCCAAAGGAGAAAACACUGCCCUCCAGUGGUCUUCAAUGAAGAAAUGGAAAUAGUUUCAGGUGGAAACCAGGCUUCUUGGAAGAAUUCAAACUAUGCCAAAUGGUCUGAUUUCACCAUAGAGAAGGAGUGAUUCAUGGAAAGGACUUAAUUUCUCCAUUUUCUGGAAUCGACAUAUAAGAGCUUUUUAGUUAUUUUAAAGUUCUUCCUGUACAGUGUAUUGUUGUGUUCCAUGAAACAGACAAAACUCAGCAAGACAACAAAGACUUAAUCUGUAAGAGAAGAAUGUUAUACUAUUAAUUGCCAAUUUGCAUAUGUGUGCAGCUGCUGUUUUGGCUCUGAACUCAAUCCGAUAAGCUUGCUGGAGGUAUCGCAGAGCACUUGGCAGCUUUCCUAUUUGAAAAGAAAGCCUCUCCCCUCUACAGAACAGCUGAUCGUCUAUCAGCGAUAGACCCUGAUGGCGUG
rnacentral:antisense_RNA from 1 species